UUCUUUGUGGUGUAGUGGUCAGCACGCUUGACGCGUAACCGAGAGGUCCGUGGUUCGAUUCCCGGCGAAGGCG
rnacentral:tRNA from 1 species